UACGUAGGGGCAAGCGUUAUCCGGAUUUACUGGGGUGUAAAGGGAGCGUAGACGGUAUGGUAAGUCAGAUGUGAAAGCCCGGGGCUCAACCCCGGGACUGCAUUUGAAACUAUCAAACUGGAGUGCAGGAGAGGUAAGUGGAAUUCCUAGUGUAGCGGUGAAAUGCGUAGAUAUUAGGAGGAACACCAGUGGCGAAGGCGGCUUACUGGACUGUAACUGACGUUGAGGCUCGAAAGCGUGGGGAGCAAACAGGAUUAGAUAUUCGUGUAGUCCCUGAG
rnacentral:rRNA from 1 species